UUAAUAAGGAUGACAGCUUCUAUCGAGCAUAGGUCGCUGUAGGCCAUAUGGGUUGGUUGUCCUUUUAAUCAAGGAGUGUGGAGACACUAGUAUGGCAUACAGGUGAGAUAUAAGGGUAUAUCAUCAUUGAAUGUGACCAACUCCAGAGCAUUCUGCUGUCAAGAAUGUCUCUGAUGGGAUAUAGGUAUAAGUGUCCCUUAGA
rnacentral:lncRNA from 1 species